CAUAUUACCUGCACUGAAUAAAAUCGAUGCUUACGAAUUGAAAGCUUUCCCCCAUAAAAAGUAAACUUGAUUGAAACACUGACAUUCACAUAUUUGUGUUGGCAGAAAAAUGGUUUGGUGAAAAAUCUCGGUCUGGGUGAACUGUCCGACUAUGAAAAACAAAAACUUGCGGAGGUAAGACUGAAUCAGAAAAAGUGAAAUGGCGUAGCCAAAGGCCAGCAGGUGGGGUAUAGGCUUUGAUCCUUCACGUAGCCUCCUGAUCUGUUCUUGUGAAACUAGUUGAAAUCUGGCCAGGAAAAGGGCUGGGGGGCGGUGCAAUGUCUCAGAAUAAUGAUAAAAUAUGCUUUUUCUGGGUAAUAAUUUUUGAGAACCCUUGAAAAUAUUUCCCCACAGAGAAUGCUCGACCCGGGGGAGCAUGUCCAACUCCCCCCCAGCGUUCAUCGGCAUUUGUGUACAGAACUUAUAUAUGUUUAUAUAUAUAAGCGCCCUAGAAUUUAUGUCCCCCCCCCCCCAAAGUCAAGACCCUGGCACUGUCUUAACUUUUGUUAUGAGUAACAUAUACGAGAAUAACUACAUAAAAUAUUUUUCAGAAUAUUAACCUAAUUAUUUCGUAUCAUAAAUGACCAAGAACAAGGCGUGACAUUUUUUAUUGAAAACAACGUUUCGGAGUUCACUCCGUCAUCACGACAUCACAGUUAAAAGACUACAAUAUAUUGUCUAAACAGCUUGCGUUCAAACAAUAUAUUGUAGUCUUUUAACCUGAUGAUGGAGUAAUCUCCGAAAUGUCGUAGUUGCCUUGUUCUUGGUCAUAAAUGGACAGAUUUAGAUCGAGGACGCGGACGUCAAAGACAACGCGAAAAUGGCGUGGCAUAUCCAUACAUAUCUAUUUCCACGUCGUCUUUGACGUCCUCGAUUUAAAUCUGUCUAAUAGCUAACACAAAAAGUCUAUAUAAAAUAUGUUGUUUUUGUCUGUCCAGCUUAUGCCAGAACUACAGAAGAAUAUCAAGAAAGGCGAAGAUUUUGCAGCAAAUAACUAAAGUACUUGAAAGAACGAACGAUGUCGGUAAAUCUCUCUCUCUAUAAAGGAUCACGAUUCACAGUAUGAAAACUAUCGAAAUAUUGCGACAACUAUACUAGCUGAGAUUUAUAUUGUGAUGAUAGUCGAUCGCGGGCUUAUCUUUGUGAUAUUGUAAUAUUGAAAGGUUUAUUAUUUGGAUAAUGACUAUGUCA